GGGAAACUCAGAUUUCUCCUCCAGGAGCCGUCUGAAGAAGCCAGACUGAUUAAGGACGACCCUUGUUCUGCAGAACAAGUCUACUCCUAUGAUACAACUGCUCAACUGCAGGCAUCAUCAGUUGAUGCUCCAGCCUAACCAGGUGUGAAGAGUUUAGCAGUGCACCAGCAGAGAGCGGAUGGCCACUGAAUUGUUCCAGGCCCAGGGCAUGACCGGGGUGGCACAGUGGAACUACCAACGGAUGGUGGACCUUAAGCAGCCAGGUGUCAUCCUCCCUGCUGUGUUUGAUCCCGCUGUAAUAGCUGAGUUGAAGUCUGCCUCCAAGAAUCCGUUGGCCAGCCGCUCUCUGCAGGUGCAAUGCUAAAGCAGGAGAUGCCGACAGACAACCACCAGAAAUCUCCAGCAGCAACGGAACUCUCACAUGCCCUGCCCCUGCCGCUGAGGUCCUCGCCGAGGAGUGCCCACGCUGGACCCACACCCAAGACAGGUGGACAGGUUUUUUGUGUUGGACAACACACGGUGGACGCCACCCAUGAAAGAUGCUAUUGACGGCAUGCUGCACAUGGUCCAUCGGUCUGCCAAAGAUACCAACCGCUUGCUGCACCCCUUAACCAGGUUGCACACAUUCCGCUAUGUGAAGCACCUGGCAAAACUCCUUAACACCUUGUUCAUCUUCAAACACAAGCCAGGAAAAACUUCUGGAGACUCAGCAGCUGUGGCACUCUUUAACAGAGGGGAGGGAGAUGGCAACUGUUCCUGUGGUCACUAUGGGGCCGGGGCCGGCUAUUGUCAAUCCACCUGCACCUGCCCUGUCAACACCUCUGACGCAAGACUCCAUUGAGAAAAUUGUGGAAGGCAUCUUUGAGAUGCAGCAGCAACUGCCAGAACAGAACAGAAGAGAAGACAGACAAUGGUCUUGCCUGUGGACAGCCCAAGUCUCUAUAUGAGACUGAUGAAGGAGCUAUUGUUACUUUAUUGUGUUCCAGAAAUCUCACAUGCUCUGCCCCUGCUGCUGAGGUCCUCGCCAUGGCGAGAGUGCACAUUCACAUUUGUUGUACACACGCACAUAGUACUCUCUUGUUUACAGUCAUUUGGAGCACAUGGAUAUAUGUCUAUGCUUGCCAUUUUCAUUUAAUCAUUGUGAAAAGUUAUAUUUGAAUGCUGGCCUUAAAUGUUCCAUAUCAUUUCUGAAAUGCUUAUCUUUAAGAUAACAAUCCACUACUAUAAAACGUGCGGUCCUAUUUGAUACAUAUAAUUUGAUACAUAUAUUUUGUCUGUUAUAAAUGUGACUUUCUUUUAUCUGUGUGAUUAAGACUGUAUGUAAAACUGACCUCAAUGCAUCAGGCCAGCCUGGCAGAUAACCCCUUUUGAUCAAGUUUCCUUCUUUUUAAAGGAAAGUUUGUCAUUGUUAGUAGGUGUUUGUUUGUCAUUUUCCUUUGUCAUUGUAAGCAGUUAUAUUUAAUUGUUCGCCUUAAAUGAUUCAUAUUAUUUCUAAAACAUUUAUCUUUAAUUACAGUCCAUGCUAUUCCAUUUGUGUAAAUACUGAGGUAUGUUUAAACUAUUUCACAUGUUGUCAAUAAAACUAUGAUCAUAAAUAAAAAUGGAA